UGAAAACAAACGAAUACGCUUUGCACUCAAGAGUUUUUUCACGAAGUGACGGAAGGCAAAUAUUUACAGUUUGGAACAGCCGAAGACCAUGAAAUGAUGCAGUAUAUACAAUAAGUGAUGUUUCAGAGAACAAAUGAGAGAAGUCCUGGAACUGGUACACUUGUUGCUGAUGGUCAGAUACAAUUCCAGGUUAGAUCCAGGGGCCGACACGCUUGUCAGAUGUGUCAUUGAUGAUUCCCUGAACAUCGCAGAUAUGAUCUGAUUUGGUGACAUGACAGUGGAUUUGGUAGUGACUGGAUUUUUAUAGUGUGCCCUGGUUUUGAACUAUUGAAGUAACCAAACUAGAAACAUCUUCUGAGAACUCUGACUGCAAUUCUAAUGAUGAAACUCUGUCUACACUUGUGAAAAUGUGAAGGAGUUGGCUCUACCUCGUGGCCUUUCAGGUUCAGUGCUCUCAUCUAACUUUUUCUUUUUCCAACUGGGUAACUGAUAUCAAUUUUAAUUUUCUUGAGAUUUUGACUUCAACAUAAGUUUAGUUUUAAUUAUGAUAGGACUUUCAAAUCUGGUUUCAUUUUUAGAGCAGUGUAUUAUAUAAAGAAACUAUACUGCUUGAACUAUAAGUCUCUGCUCUUAUAGUGAUAUGAUUAUGAACUCCUUUAAAAAUAUUUUAUAUAUACAGUCAAAUAUAAAGUUCAGAAUAGUCACUUAUCUUCUAUACUUACAUGUUAAAAUUGCUUAUACACAUCGUCCACAUAUGGAUGCAGAAUAAUUACCCUUUUUCAUUCAUUUGAUUCGCAUGUUUUCAUUUUGCUUGGUGCUAUCUAAAAAACAGAAAUACUGCAUAUUUCUACAUUUAAAAUAAAACUGAAUGUUAUUAGCUGUAUUGUGCUUAAAUGAAUUGUGUUAAUACUACAUAUUCUUUAAUAACAAUCAUACAAUUUAGACUGACAUGCAUUGUGAAACUCGAUAGCUGCAUGAUAUAUUACUAGUAAGGAUGUAGGGGUGAAAAUCAUAUUAGGUUUUUGUAAAUUCAUUUUCAAAAGCCAAAUGUAUUAAUACAGACACCCCCCCCCCCCCCUCUUCCAUGAGGUAAUGUUUUAUUGGUUUAUCAGGGGUGUGAGAAUUCUUAAGCUGAUUUUAGUUAUUUUUUGCUUUUUAUUUCAAGCUUGAUAUCCCCCAUUUCUGUACAAUAGUUUGAGAUCUCAUUCAAUUUAAUCCCCCAACUCUACAGAAUUUUCAGGUCUUUAUUUGUCAUCGCUCACACACCUGGUUCAUGCAGUUGAUGUGUCGUAAUUUUAUUCCAGAAAAUCCAACUGUUAGAUUUUGUUAUUCACGAAAGAAGUAAUACAUGAUUAUGUU
rnacentral:lncRNA from 1 species